rnacentral:rRNA from 1 species
GACGAACGCUGGCGGCGUGCUUAACACAUGCAAGUCGAACGGAGUGGCGAACGGGUGAGUAACACGUGGGUGACCUGCCCCGCACUUCGGGAUAAGCACGGGUAACUGGGUUUAAUAAUGGCUAGUGUGGGAUGGGCCCGCGGCCUAUGGGCUUGUUUGUGGGGUAAUGGCCUACCAAGGCGGCGACGGGUAGCCGGCCUGGGAGGGUGGACGGCCACAAGAGGCCUACGACACGGACCAGACUCCUACGGGGCACAGCAGUGGGGAGUAUUGCACAGUUGGGGGAAGCCUGAUGCAGCGGCGCCGCGUGUGGGAUGACGGCCUUCGGGUUGUAAACUCCUUUCACCAUCUACGCGGUAGAUGGAGAAGAAGCACCGGCUAACUACGUGCCAGCAGCCGCGGUAAUAC